AUGCUCGCUUUGGCAGCACAUAUACUAAAUUUGUAACUAUAUAGAGAAGAUUAGCAUGGCCCCUGCACAAGGAAGACACACAAAUUCGUGAAGUGUUCUAUAUUUUU